AGGAAGGAAGGAAGGACUGUAUUUUCUGUUUUAGAAUGCCUUUUGGAGAAGGAGAGAAUUUAGUCUAGUGUGUGCACUAAGAUUAAUCUAAAGUCUAAAGCCUCCCAGCAUCAGCUUCUACCCAAAAUACAUCACCCUCUUCAGCCUUUGGCAUCAGCAGCAGGUGGAGCAGAGAAUUAAAUCUUUCACACACUGACAUUUGAAUUCCCUGUGACAGAACAAGCCAAGACCUAGGGAAGAAAAUAGAUGAUACUUGAUGAAAAUGGCCAUUAUAACCUUUCAGUAAGGAAAAGUCUUACCCUUUCUGUUUUUGGAAGGCCUCAUUACUGUACAUGCAUAAGGAGAUGAAUGUCUUCAGAAGCUGUUGUCAGUCUCUGCCAUCUGCUUCUUUUGGAAACAAGGUCUUAAAGCAAAAUACAGUGACAUGAUUCAUCUUAUAAUGAUACUCAUAGGUUUGUAAACAGCAUGUGAACAGAUGAAUAAAUAAAAUGCUUUUAGA